GUUCGAUAUUAAAAUUUAAAUAUCGACACUCGAUAUUUUGAAAUAAAACUUCUUUACACAAGCUUGUCUUGGGGAAUAAACUGGGAAAUACGUGAUGAGAGUGUUACGAAAAGUGUAUUCGGGCAAGGCGAACGUGUAGCGGCUUACCGGGCAAAAGAUCUUGAAGACACUUUCGGAGAUCUUCAAGAAGCGAAAAAGACUUCUAAAGUUUCUGGAGGAGCUUGCGUGGCAAGAGUGAAUCGGAUUACUCCCACACACGCAAAAUAGGCGCAAAGUCGUCGAGUUGCGGAAACCAGCCCUUGUUAACGAUGCUGUACCAUACCAUACC
rnacentral:misc_RNA from 1 species